GACCCAUCACCAGUACCAAAACCAUCACCUAAAAUCAUCAGAAAAACUGAUCCAGAAACAUUCUCAAAUAAAGGUGACACCAGGAGUUCUUUACUGUCAGCAACCAGGAAGUUCAAAACAUCUGUUUCCUUCACAAUUACCAUGGGGGCUAAUGGUAACCGAAACUCAAAGUUAACAGAGCCAAAUUUAGUAAAGGUAUAGUAUUUUAAGUUAACAGAGAUGACUUUUUCUGAAAAAAAUUUGACAUUAAGUUUAUUAAUAACUGUGCAGUGUCUACAGGGAACCAGUAAAGUUUAUGAAGUAAUUUGAGGUUUUUCUGUGUAAUUUCUACUUGUAAGCUAGUGUAAU
rnacentral:sRNA from 1 species